GUAGGCCAAUUUUAACCCAUUUACAUCAAAAUCCAAUUUAACCUUACCUAACCCACCAAAAUUAAACCCAAAACCCAAAAUCUUAACUACCCAAAGCCCAAUUUACAUCAAAACCCCAAUGGCCCAAACCCUAAGCCCAAAUCAAAAUAAAAAAAUCCUAGCCCACAACCUAAACUUUUCUCAACUAAAUCCUAGCCUUUGCCACCACCAACUCCACUAGCCACACUUGCUCCACCACCAACUCCACUAGCCACACUUGCUCCACCACCUACUCCACUAGCCACACUUGCUCCACCACCUACUCCAUUAGCCACACUUGCUCCACCACCACUUGUACCUACA
rnacentral:lncRNA from 1 species